rnacentral:tRNA from 1 species
GACCCCUUCGUCUAGUGGCUCAGGACAUUGCCCUUUCAUGGCAAAAACAAAGGUUCAAAUCCUUUAGGGGUCGCCA